GUCGGUAGUUUGGCGAAGUCC
rnacentral:snRNA from 1 species